GAUGAACGCUGGCGGCGUGCCUAAUACAUGCAAGUCGAGCGAACAGACGAGGAGCUUGCUCCUCUGACGUUAGCGGCGGACGGGUGAGUAACACGUGGAUAACCUACCUAUAAGACUGGGAUAACUUCGGGAAACCGGAGCUAAUACCGGAUAAUAUAUUGAACCGCAUGGUUCAAUAGUGAAAGACGGUUUUGCUGUCACUUAUAGAUGGAUCCGCGCCGCAUUAGCUAGUUGGUAAGGUAACGGCUUUCCAAGGCAACGAUGCGUAGCCGACCUGAGAGGGUGAUCGGCCACCCUGGAACUGAGACAGGGUCCAGACUCCUACGGGAGGCAGCAGUAGGGAAUCUUCCGCAAUGGGCGAAAGCCUGACGGAGCAACGCCGCGUGAGUGAUGAAGGUCUUCGGAUCGUAAAACUCUGUUAUUAGGGAAGAACAAAUGUGUAAGUAACUAUGCACGUCUUGACGGUACCUAAUCAGAAAGCCACGGCUAACUACGUG
rnacentral:rRNA from 1 species